rnacentral:rRNA from 1 species
GGUGGUUUGUCGCGUCGUCUGUGAAAUUCCGGGGCUUAACUCCGGGCGUGCAGGCGAUACGGGCAUAACUUGAGUGCUGUAGGGGAGACUGGAAUUCCUGGUGUAGCGGUGAAAUGCGCAGAUAUCAGGAGGAACACCGAUGGCGAAGGCAGGUCUCUGGGCAGUUACUGACGCUGAGGAGCGAAAGCAUGGGUAGCGAACAGGAUUAGAUACCCUGGUAGUCCAUGCCGUAAACGGUGGGCGCUAGGUGUAGGGGGCUUCCACGUCUUCUGUGCCGUAGCUAACGCAUUAAGCGCCCCGCCUGGGGAGUACGGCCGCAAGGCUAAAACUCAAAGGAAUUGACGGGGGCCCGCACAAGCGGCGGAGCAUGUGGAUUAAUUCGAUGCAACGCGAAGAACCUUACCUGGGCUUGACAUACACCAGAUCGCUGCAGAGAUGUAGUUUCCCUUGUGGUUGGUGUACAGGUGGUGCAUGGUUGUCGUCAGCUCGUGUCGUGAGAUGUUGGGUUAAGUCCCGCAACGAGCGCAACCCUUGUCUUAUGUUGCCAGCAUUUUAGUUGGGGACUCAUGAGAGACUGCCGGGGUUAACUCGGAGGAAGGUGGGGAUGACGUCAAAUCAUCAUGCCCCUUAUGUCCAGGGCUUCACACAUGCUACAAUGGUCGGUACAACGCGCAGCGACACUGUGAGGUGGAGCGAAUCGCUGAAUGCCGGUCUUAGUUCGGAUUGGGGUCUGCAACUCGACCCCAUGAAGUCGGAGUCGCUAGUAAU